UACGAAGGGGGCUAGCGUUGCUCGGAAUCACUGGGCGUAAAGGGUGCGUAGGCGGGUCUUUAAGUCAGGGGGGAAAUCCUGGAGCUCAACUCCAGAACUGCCUUUGAUACUGAGGAUCUUGAGUUCGGGAGAGGUGAGUGGAACUGCGAGUGUAGAGGUGAAAUUCGUAGAUAUUCGGAAGAACACCAGUGGCGAAGGCGGCUCACUGGCCCGGUACUGACGCUCAGGUGCGAAAGCGUGGGGAGCAAACAGG
rnacentral:rRNA from 1 species